rnacentral:rRNA from 1 species
AUGCACGCCAUCCACCCGCGCACGCUCGCCACCAACCUCGCCGGCUUCGCCAGGUUCGGCUGCCUCAAGGACCUCCCCGAGAUCCUCUAUCGUUUCCUCCAUGACCCCCGCGAUGAGCGCAAGGACCAGGACGACGUCGCCGCGGCGGCCCCGGGGGCAAGAGCGGCAAGCGGCGCUGCGUCGACGGCCUUGCCGCCGCCGCGGCUGAGGCCACCAAGGCCCGGCGCGAGAAGGAGGCGGAGCACGCGCAGGCCAUGCUCGCGCUCUACGACUCUGACAAGGCCUUCCGCAACCUCUACGACGGCGUCGCCGACCUCUUCGUCUGGCUGCUCAAGUCGGACCUGGAGCACCUGCGCACGGGCGACAUGGCUAAGAUCGUGUUCGCCGCCAAGUGCGCUCGUCGUACGCAUCGGUCUCCUUUGCUCCAUGGGUGCCGCUGGCUGA